rnacentral:rRNA from 1 species
GACGAACGCUGGCGGCGUGCUUAACACAUGCAAGUCGAACGGUGAAGCGCCUUCCUUUUUGGUGGGUGUGGAUGAGUGGCGAACGGGUGAGUAACACGUGAGUAACCUGCCCCCUUCUUCUGGAUAACCGCAUGAAAGUGUGGCUAAUACGGGAUAUUCUGGGUCUGUCGCAUGAUGGGUCUGGGAAAGAUAUUGUUUCGGUGGGGGAUGGGCUCGCGGCCUAUCAGCUUGUUGGUGGGGUGAUGGCCUACCAAGGCGGUGACGGGUAGCCGGCCUGAGAGGGUGGACGGUCACACUGGGACUGAGACACGGCCCAGACUCCUACGGGAGGCAGCAGUGGGGAAUAUUGCACAAUGGGCGCAAGCCUGAUGCAGCGACGCCGCGUGAGUGAUGGAGGCCUUCGGGUUGUGAACCUCUUUCGCCAGUGAAGCAGGCCUGCCUCGUUUGUGGGUGGGUUGACGGUAGCUGGAGAAGAAGCGCCGGCUAACUACGUG